rnacentral:rRNA from 1 species
AGUGAACGCUGGCGGUAGGCCUAACACACGCAAGUCGAACGGCAGCACAGGAGAGCUUGCUCUCUGGGUGGCGAGUGGCGGACGGGUGAGGAAUACAUCGGAAUCUACUCUGUCGUGGGGGAUAACGUAGGGAAACUUACGCUAAUACCGCAUACGACCUACGGGUGAAAGCAGGGGACCUUCGGGCCUUGCGCGAUUGAAUGAGCCGAUGUCGGAUUAGCUAGUUGGCGGGGUAAAGGCCCACCAAGGCGACGAUCCGUAGCUGGUCUGAGAGGAUAAUCAGCCACACUGGAACGGAGACACGGUCCAGACUCCUACGGGAGGCAGGAGUGGGGAAUAUUGGACAAGGGGCGCAAGCCUGUUCCAGCCAUACCGGGUGGGUGAAGAAGGCCUUCGGGUUGUAAAGCCCUUUUGUUGGGAAAGAAAUCCAGCUGGCUAAUACCCGGUUGGGAUGACGGUACCCAAAGAAUAAGCACCGGCUAACUUCGUGCCAGCCGCCGCCGUAA